rnacentral:tRNA from 1 species
GGGGAGAUAGCUCACUAGUUAAGAGCACUGGUUGGUUUUCCAGAGGACUGGGUUUCAAUUCCCAGUCCUCACA